GAAAAUGUUCUAUUUCCGCCGUUCUGUCAAAAAAGGAUUUUAACUGUAGAAGAUUCAUACCAUUUGAUGCCAAGUGUACAAUAAAAACUGAAAUGAAAAUUGCCAACAGAAGUGUCAUGGUCUUGGUGGAAAAUACUGUGCUCUUCAUUGACCUCUGUUUAAUAAUGGCUGGUGAUAGAAAACUAUCAGGAAUGCUUCAAGCUGGCAAUGGAGGGAAAUGUAAAAGACACUGAGAAAUCACAAGGUUUCAAACAUCUAGAAUAUGCUCACAGUCAGUCUUCCAGAUACUCACCUUAAAGGACAGUAUCUAUGUUACCUGCCCGGCCCCCUCCAUUACAGUUGCCUGCCAGUCUUCUUCCCCAAUCAUGCCCAACCGAUUGGUCCAAUAUUGUUCAAAACUUGAUGGAAAUGCGGUGUCAUCGUAGUUUGGAGUAUGUGCAGAGCACUCGGGACAACAAGCAGUUUAUUUCUUCGAUGAGACUGAAUUGAAAGGGAGCAGACACUGUUGUGAGCAUGAUGAUCACUUCUUCAAGUACCAUGGCUUGGAGAUAAAAAGCCGAAAUUGGCACUUUGGUCUUAGCAGCAAACAGGCCUGGUUUUGUGCGGUGCAGGUUUGCUGCAUCGGUGAUGGUUUAGUUUACCUGAUGAAAACCAGAGCAGUUGUGUACCCUGAACUCCUUUCCGAAUUAUUCAUCAAGGGGAUGGAUCUUGAAUGGCAGUGGUAUUAACAUGACAAGAUCAGAGAAUACAGCAGAUUAGACAUUGAAAAAGACAGUGUGCCCUAGACAGUCUCAACCAAAGCAUUGAACAAACUGUACAACCUGUUAAUUAACUUUUUAGAGCUGUUUGUUUGGACUAGUGUUUGUCAUUCAGAAAUAAGUAAUAACAUUAUUUCUCAGUAUAAGAUAUCUGCAGGAAUUAGAAGCUGAUAUUUACUGUAACUAUAAAACAAACCUCUUAGGGGUUUAGCCAGGUUAAAGAAAGACAGGGAGCUACAGAAAAGAGACAGGUUUUCAUGUUUCAAUAGGACACCCUUCAUUUAUCUGUGAAGAAUUUUAACAUUUUGAAUGUUACAGAAAAUGUUAGGAAUAUUGUAUAAUGUUUAAUUGAAGUACUAUUAGGUUUCAAGUGCCAAAUAUUUAAAGCCUGUGUGUAUUUAUAAUCUUGUGAAUAUAAAGUUGUUAUCAAAACAAAAUCAAUAUUUGACUGUCUUAAGCUUUUAAUUCUAUGAAGGCAGGAGGUUGCCAAUCUUACUCUUCAUGACGGGUGCUUCCAAAAAAAGAACAGGGUGCAGAAACCUUCCAUAACUCUUGCUAGAACCCUAAUAUCCUUUUUUCAUCAAAUUACAGUAACAUUGACAAUUAACAAAUGAUGCAGUGAUAUUUUUUUAUGCUAAUAUCAUCAAUUUUUAUUGUCAUUAAGUUUUCUUCUAGAAUUGAUUUGUACAUGUAAUGUAUUGAAAAUUGAUACUUGUGGUUGCCAUGGUUACAACUUGUUUCUUAGUGUAGUAAUAUGUUUUAUAUAUAUAAAUACAAUAUUGCAUUAUGUAAACUUAUAAUAUUUUAAGAAAUAAUGAUUCAAACACAUGUACAGAGACAAUAAAUACACUACUUUGUAUUUUUGUUGCCAUGGCAAUGUUUCUGUGUAUAUUUGUUACAUUUAUUGUUUUUUAUUACAGGAUUGUCCAUUAGUGAAAUUAUAAUGUGUAUAAUAAGCA